rnacentral:tRNA from 2 species
GUUAACGUAGCAAAACCUGGGCGUGCAAAAGAUCUAAGCCCUUUCAAUAGGGGUUCAAAUCCUUUCGUUAACU